UUCGGAGCAAAGUAAGCAAUCCCCCAUACCGGAGUCGGAACCCUGUUUGACUCUUGACCUUGAGCGCCAACUCUCUUAAACUAACCAAAUCCACUUCCUUGAACUUGUAGCACUUAGUCUUCUUCAUACCUGUGAUUAUUUACAAAAAUUUCCAUUUGUUUAAACCCUUCGAUGAAUGCAUGAAAAAUGUUUAUGCAUGAAUGCAUGUAUGCAUGAUUGUGUUGUUUAGUUACAAUGUGGGUUGAGAUUCAAAGUAACAAGGCCAUGGAUGGACACGGCGUCUGGUGAACUAAGGCUUUGGAUAAUAGUAACCAAGGUUCUAAUCAAGUUCCCAAACUGCAACCUCUCUCACAUAUAUCAUGGUAGUACAGGACGACACCCGUUCCAUGUUUAUUUGUGAGAAGGUCUAGCUUGAGUGUAGUAUCGCGUGACGACUAAAGUUUGAGACAACACUCAAUUUAGCCACCGCACUACGUCCUAAAAAGGCUAGGAUGGGUUUGGUAACUACGGUUCAUAGCUUCGUCGAACAAUUGAAAGUGAAGUGCCUAAGCAUGACAACACACGCCGACAAUAUCACCUUCAAAAUGCCUCAGCUAUGUGAGAUUGAUCGCAUAAUCCAAUACACGAGGCAACCCCCGGAUCGAAUUGUCGAUUAUAUCUCUACCUAAUCAUAAGUUCACUCAGCCCGGGUUAGGACUUUUGAUAUUCUCACCCCACACGUCAAAUGAAGGUAAACAAGUAUUCACAUGUGUAAGCAAUAAAAUAAAGCAUAAAUAUAAACUAAGGAAAACUAGGCGCGACCCGCUAAAAAAGUUUCCCCAGUGAAGUCGCCAUUUCUGUUAUCAUGGUUUUUGGGUGCCAAGCCAUUAAUUGGACUUGUACCUUUCGACCGUUGAUAUCUCUAUUUUUUCUUGGGAAGGGCAAAAUUGAGAAAAACCCUUAGAUUCUAAGUUCGGGGGUCGGUUUUACUACGGGAAGGUGUUAGGCACCCGGAGUAACUAUAGUCCUCUAUAGGAGCCGUUUUCCUAAGUCUAUAUUCGCGCUUAUUUUUGCUUACUUUUGAAAAUGGGAGGUUUAUUUAGUUAAGAAUGGGGGGAGAGAUUGUAAGACUUUGAUUUUAUUUCGGCUUGGAUGAGUUUUGACUCAUUGCCUACGUACCGUUUUACGGGAUCAAAACCGGCGUAGUUCUUGCUAAAAAGACUUGUUUUUCUUUUGUUUUAAUUGUUUGAUUUCAAGUUUUGAAAAAAAGGUUUUGAAGAAGGAGAUUGGGAGGCUUCAUGAGCAUUAGAUUUUAGCAAAAGGUAAGGUUUGAUUAGUGAUUUCGAAAGAAAGUCUAAAUGAUUAAGAUGAAUUGAAUUUUUCUUAAGAAAAAAGAAAGGAAAAAAUGAAGUGUUGACUUCAUACAUAUUAUGAAAAUUUUUGAAGUGAAGUUCAAUUGUUUUUUUUUUUGAAAAAAGAUGGAUUUUCUCUAAGCGUUUAAACCUAAGCGCUCAUCUAACCAUACAAUCCUAUGCAUACAUCUAAGGUGAGUGUGUGCGUGUCGGUGCGUCAUAGUGUCCAUAGUCCAUAUUACAAAAAUUGCCUAAAUACAUUCUAUGGCCCCUUUGCCAAGCUACAAACCAAUGAUAACAAAUUACAUUACCAAAUGAAUUAAAACUUGCAAAAAAAACAAAUGCUAGGCUAAAAAGUGGAGGGAAUGCUAAAUGAGAUGCAUGAAACAUGAGAUGAAAUGGUUAGUAACCAUAAAGCACAAAAUAAUAGGAAAUAUUCAAAAGGAAAUGCAUAAAAAUGGCAAAGAAAAGGUAAUAAAGUGGCAAUAAACCUAAAAACUUUGAUGUGAUACCUAAAGGUGCUUGUAACCCAUAAUCAUCACAUCAUGGCAAUUUUGAAAGAAAUUUUGUUUCAAGCCAUGACAUGAAAUUAAUGGAAACAUAUGCAAGCAAGGUAUCACACCAAAUUCAUAGAGAAAUUUGACACUUUAUUCCCUAAAACAAACACUUGUUGCUUGUAAAACAAGAAAUCCAUAAAAUCAUAUUCAAAACAGCAAAAGAAACACAUGUUCAGAGGCAUAUUCAUCAUAAGAUAUGGCAUCAUUUAUUCAUAACACAUAUCAAAGUAUCAAGAACAAAAACAUAGCAAAAAGUACAUCAAAAGUGUAAAAACACAUGGAAAUUAGUUCAUGCCAUUUUAACAUUUUUUACAUGCAAGAAAACACCAUAAAAAUGCCAAAAAUAUACCAAGAAAAGAAACAACUAGGAUUUUUCAGGAAUUUUUAUAAAAAAAAAGGUAAGCAAGUAGCAGGUUCAGAUAGCAAGAAAGGCGGUGCAAAUAGCAAGAAAUUAACAAAAAAACGUAAAAAGAAACAAGCCCAAACCAAAGCCCAAUCCUACAAGGUCCGGAAGCAUGGGAUCCACACGAUUGAUCCAGGAUUCAAAAACCCUAGAUCAAACGGCCAGGAAUCAAAGGGGAAUGGACCGGAUUGAACCGGUCCGGUUCGCUGGCCUAUAAAAAUGGAAGGACACCGGUUUUUUCAUUUCUCUACUUCCCUUUCUCUCUCUAAGUUCUUCCCUCUUCUCUCAUCUCUCAUCUCUCUCUAAACCCUCACCGGAUUCUGGAAAAACACGGAAGAUCUUCAUCUUCCCCGGUGAGUUUUGCUCCUCCGGCGUGGUGGCCGGCCGCCCAAGGGUGGUGGCGCCGCCGCCGGAGUUGAACAAACUUCACCGUUUUCAAAAAAAACUUACAUUUUCAGAUAUCCUUUUCCAUCCUAAACACGAAUAUGACACUGGAUUCUUCAUGCAAGGCGUGAAUCAACGUAGAUCUACGUUUUUGUGUCACGAUUUUGAGAAAAAAAAAAAAUUUAGGUUUUCAAAGAAUUUUUAAAAGAAGCUUGUAACACCUCAAGAUCUACAUUGAUUCCGUGUUGGCUAUCUCUCUGGCACUCGUCCUUGCUUACAACUUCUGGAUUUCUAUGGAUCUAUGUUUUUGCUUACGGUUAUGAUUUUUUUUAUGAUUCUGGAAAUUUUUUUGGAUCUUGUUUGCAGGUUUAACAGUGAUUAUGCUUUUUAAAGAGAGAAAACUGAGUUUUACCUGAAUUUUGGUUGAGAUUCUUGAAGGAGAAAAUCUUCGGAAAACUUGAACGUUCUUUGAUUUUCUCUGAACCGAAAAUAAAUCGGUUUACUGGCUUGGUUUCUUCAUCUUCUCCGGUUCUUUCUCUGAUUAUACGUUUGAACUUGCUUCUUUGAUUUCUUUGCGAGAGGCUCCCCGUGAUCAACGCUUGAGCUUGCUUUGAUGCGAGCUCGCGUUUGGAAUUGCAGGGAAUCAAUCAAUUCAGUGAUGAAGAUUCAUACGAAUCUCUGAGAAUUGAUGCGAAAAACACUGAAACUUGAUGAAUUUGUGACUUUCUGGAAACGGUUAGGGUUUUGUGUUCUUCGUGUUCUUGAUGAAUCUGAGAAAUUUU
rnacentral:lncRNA from 1 species